rnacentral:rRNA from 1 species
GAUGAACGCUGGCGGCGUGCCUAAUACAUGCAAGUCGAACGAACGGACCCGAAUCUUUCUUCUCUGAUUUUAGCGCCAAACGGGUGAUUAACCCUUGGAUAACCUACCUAUGAGACUGGGAUACCUUCGGGAAACCGGAGCUAUUCCCGGUUUAUCUUCUGAUCCGCAUGGUUCUAGUGUGAAUGACUUUCUUUCUGUCACUUUUAGAUGGGUCCGCGCUGCGUUAGCUAGUUGGUAUGGUAACGGCUUACCAAGGCAACGAUGCAUAGCCGGCCUGAGAGGGUGAUCGGCCACACAGGAACGGAGACACGGACCAGACUCCUACGGGAGGCAGCAGUAGGGAAGGUUCAGCAAUGGGCGAAAGGAUGACGGAGCAAGGGCGCGUGAGUGAGGAAGGUAUGCGGAUCGGAAAAGACUGUUAUUAGGGAAGAACGUAUGUGUAAGUAACUGUGCACAGCUUGACGGUACCUAAGCAGGAAGCCACGGCUAACUACGUG